GAUGAACGCUAGCGGCAGGCCUAACACAUGCAAGUCGAGGGGUAACAGGGUGCUUGCACCGCUGACGACCGGCGCACGGGUGCGUAACGCGUAUACAAUCUACCUUUUACAGAGAGAUACCCCAGAGAAAUUUGGAAUAAUACCUCAUAAUAUUAUUGCUCGGCAUCGAGUGACAAUUAAAGUUUCGGCGGUAAAAGAUGAGUAUGCGUCCUAUUAGCUAGUUGGUAAGGUAACGGCUUACCAAGGCAACGAUAGGUAGGGGUCCUGAGAGGGAGAUCCCCCACACUGGUACUGAGACACGGACCAGACUCCUACGGGAGGCAGCAGUGAGGAAUAUUGGUCAAUGGGCGAAAGCCUGAACCAGCCAUGCCGCGUGCAGGAAGACUGCCCUAUGGGUUGUAAACUGCUUUUAUACAGGAAGAAACACUCGGACGUGUCCGAGCUUGACGGUACUGUAUGAAUAAGCACCGGCUAACUCCGUGCCAGCCGCCGCGGUAA
rnacentral:rRNA from 1 species